UCAAGCUACUAAGGGCAUACGGUGGAUGCCUUGGCGCCAUACGCCGAUGAAGGACGCGAUAAGCUGCGAAAAGCCACGGGGAACUGCAAAUAAGUAUCGAUCCGUGGAUGUCCGAAUGGGGAAACCCGGCAGCCGUAAUGGGCUGUCACCCUCGGAAGAGGGAGGGAACCCGGUGAACUGAAACAUCUAAGUAGCCGGAGGAAGAGAAAUCAAACGAGAUGCCCCCAGUAGCGGCGAGCGAAGCGGGCAGAGCCCAAACCGAAGGUCUUCGGGCCUUCGGGGUUGUGGACCGGCAGAAUCGAGCAAGUUGUUAGCCGAAUCCUCUGGAAAGAGGAGCGAGAGAGGGUAAUAGCCCCGUAGGCGAAAACGACGCGCGAGAGGCCGAGAUCCGGAGUACCACGGAGCACGAGGAAUUCUGUGGGAAGCAGGGGGGACCACCCUCCAAGGCUAAAGACGAAAUGGCGACCGAUAGCGCAUAGUACCAUGAGGGAAAGGUGAAAAGAACCCCGGGAGGGGAGUGAAAGAGAACCUGAAACCGUAUGUCUACAAGCAGUCGGAGCGAAAGCGACGGCGUGCCUAUUGAAGAAUGAGCCAACGAGUUACGUGUGCCGGCAAGGUUAAGCAGAAGAUGCGGAGCCGUAGGGAAACCGAGUCUGAAGAGGGCGAGGAGUCGGUAUAGGUAGACCCGAAACUGUAGUGAUCUACGCAUGGCCAGAUUGAAACGCAGGUAAAAAUGCGCGGAGGAUCGAACCGGGACAUGUUGAAAAAUGUUCGGAUGAGCUGUGCGUAGGGGUGAAAUUCCAAUCGAACGCAGAGAUAGCUGGUUCUCCUCGAAAUAGCUUUAGGGCUAGCCUCAGGCAGUAAGCAUAGGCGGUAGAGCACUGAUCGGGUACGGGGCCGUAAAGGUUACCAACCCCUGUCAAACUCCGAAUGGUUAUGCUGCAAAGCCUGGGAGUCAGACUACGAGUGAUAAGAUCCGUGGUCAAAAGGGAAACAGCCCAGACCAUCAGCUAAGGUCCCCAAUGCCGUACUAAGUGGAAAAGGAUGUGGGGCUUCAUAAACAACCAGGAUGUUGGCUCAGAAGCAGCCACCAUUUAAAGAGUGCGUAAUAGCUCACUGGUCGAGAGGCCCCGCGCCGAAGAUUCCCGGGGCUAAAGUACGGAACCGAAGCUAUGGAUGCGGUGUAAGCCGCGUGGUAGAGGAGCGUUCUCAUCGGGCAGAAGCAGGGCUGUAAGGCGUUGUGGACGGAUGAGAAGUGAGAAUGUUGGCAUGAGUAGCGAAAAGGACGGUGCGAAUCCGUCCCACCGAAAGCAUAAGGAUUCCUGAGCAACGAUCGUCGUCUCAGGGUAAGUCGGGACCUAAUCCGAGGCAAGAGGCGUAGGAGAUGGACAUCCGGUUGAGAAUCCGGAACCGGCAGAGGUUGUUUGAGCAAUGGAGUGACACAGGCAGGCAGGCGCGCACGGGAUUGGAAGUCCGUGUGCAAGCGUGUGGCGCGGGGGACAGGCAAAUCCGUUCCCCAGGAGCGUGAGGCGUGACGCGGAGCUUUCCGUGAGGAAAGCGAAGGGGCUGAGCCUAUACUGUCGAGAAAAGCUUCUAGUGAGACCGAUGCCGCCCGUACCGUAAACCGACACAGGUAUGUGGGGAGAGGAUCCUAAGGUGCGCGGGAGAACCCUCGUUAAGGAACUCGGCAAAAUGUACCCGUAACUUCGGGAUAAGGGUAGCCGCGUGUUGUGAAGUAUGUCCAUAUGGAGCAGAGCGCGGCCGCAGAGAAGAGGCCCAAGCGACUGUUUACCAAAAACUUAGGUGCCUGCCAAAGCGAAAGCUGACGUAUAGGUGCUGACACCUGCCCAGUGCCGGAAGGUUAAGGAAGGAGGUUCGGAGCAAUCCAACGCCUUCGACCGAAGCCCCGGUGAACGGCGGCCGUAACUAUAACGGUCCUAAGGUAGCGAAAUUCCUUGUCGGGUAAAUUCCGACCCGCACGAAAGGUGUAAUGAUCUGGGAACUGUCUCGGCCAUAGACUCGGUGAAAUCUUAAUACCUGUGAAAAUGCAGGUUACCCGCAACAGGACGGAAAGACCCCGUGGAGCUUUACUGUAGCUUGAUAUUGAGCUUCGGUAUGUUAUGUAGAGGAUAGGUGGGAGACGUUGAUACUAUGGCGCCAGCUAUAGAGUAGUCAUCCUUGGAAUACCACCCUUAACAUAUUGGAGUUCUAACCUAGACCCAUUAUCUGGGCCAGGGACAGUGUCUGGUGGGCAGUUUGACUGGGGCGGUCGCCUCCCAAAAAGUAACGGAGGCGCUCAAAGGUUCCCUCAGAAUGGUUGGAAAUCAUUCGAAGAGUGUAAUGGUAUAAGGGAGCUUAACUGCGAGACCAACAAGUCGAGCAGGUGCGAAAGCAGGACAUAGUGAUCAGGCGAUUCAGUAUGGAAUGGUCGUCGCUUAACGGAUAAAAGUUACCCCGGGGAUAACAGGCUGAUACCACCCAAUAGUUCACAUAGACGGUGGUGUUUGGCACCUCGAUGUCGGCUCGUCAUAUCCUGGAGGUGGAGUCGCUUC
rnacentral:rRNA from 1 species